rnacentral:lncRNA from 1 species
GCCGGGUCUUGUAAGCCGCCCCGAGCCCUAGGGGAGUGGCGGCAUAUAAGUUUGAAAAAUAAAUAAAUAAAUAAAUAAUUUUUUAUAUAUGCAUUUUAUUGUAAGCCGCCCUGAGUCCCCUGUUGGGUGAGAAGGGCGGGAUAUAAAUAUUGUCAUAAAUAAAUAAAUAAACAUUGCAUGGAAAGUUCCUUGACAAAAUUGAAGGAAAAGCUGAUAAGGAGAAGACCUGGCUCUGGCUCACGAAUGGGACCCUGAAGAAGGAGACAGAAGGCCUGAUCCCUGCAGCCCAGGAGCAAGCCAUCAGAACAAAUGCAAUUAAGGCCAAGAUUGGAAAAUCAGCUGAUGACCCAAAAUGCAGACUGUGCAAGGAAACCGACAAAACCAUUGAUCAUAUCCUCAACUGCUGUAAGAAAAUCGCACAGACAGACUACAAACAGAGGCAUAACUAUGUGGCCCAAAUGAUUCAUUGGAACUUAUGCUUCAAGUACCACAUCCCAGCAGCAAAGAACUGGUGGGAUCACAAACCUGCAAAAGUAUUGGAAAAUGAGCACGCAAAGAUACUGUGGGACUUCCGAAUCCAGACUGACAAAGUUCUGGAACACAACACACCAGACAUCACAGUUGAGGAAAAGAAAAAGGUUUGGAUCAUUGAUGUUGCCAUCCGAGGUGACAGUCGCAUUGACGGAAAAUAACAGGAAAAACUCAGCCGCUAUCAGGACCUCAAGAUUGAACUUCAAAGACUCUGGCAGAAACUCGUCAAUGCGACUGUCACCUGGGAUGGCAACAUCAAUGAUCCAAACCUUUUUCUUUUCCACAACUGUGAUGUCUGGUGUGUUGUGUUCCAGAACUUUGUCAGUCUGGAUUCAGAAGUCCCACAGUAUUUUUGCAUGUUCAUUUUCCAAUACUUUUGCAGGUUUGUGAUCCCACCAGUUCUUUGCUGCUGGAAGGUGGUACUUGAGGCAUAAGUUCCAAUGAAUCAUUUGGGCCACAUAGUUGUGCCUCUGUUUGUAGUCUGUCUGUGCAAUUUUCUUACAGCAGCUGAAGAGAUGAUCGGUUUCCUUGCACAGUCUGCAUUUUGGGUCAUCAGCUGAUUUUUCAAUCUUGGCCUUAAUUGCAUUUGUUCUGAUGGCUUGCUCCUGGGCUGCAAGGAUCAGGCAUUAUUAUUAUUAUGAUGAUGAUGAUUAUUAUUCUAAUUGAGCCAUUGUGACAUGUCACUUUCCUUAUAUAAUAACAGAGUUCCAGCAACCAUAUCCCCUAUCUAUUUACCCCUAGCAAAAUUAAUGGCUGAAUAAAUACGAUUGCUUCUGUCCCUCAGGUGGAGAAACGCCAUCCAAGAAAUAUUACAAGUUAGUGUGUUAUUAACCCAACUAAGAAUUAUCGCAGUGCUAAGUCAUGUAAGCACUCAUGUCAGAAAUUCCUGUCAGUUCUCACAUUUUCACCAACCAGGAGGAUGUUAUGAUAGCAAAAAAUCACAAAACUGUUUUGAGUGCAGGAGGUGUUCUGGUGCUCUUUUUCUUGUCAGCUGUGAAACAUUCCAGGCCCAUAUCUAUAACAAGCAGGUAUGACACCACUUGGGAUGCAGACCACUGCUGCCAGAAUUCCUGUUCGAAGUGUUUACACAGCCAUACCCUCUCAAAUACCAAAUUGCAUAAACAAGAUUGUGGAACGCUAGGGAGAAAGAAGUGCUUGGCUUGAGCAAAGACAGAUGUCACAUUCCUUGCUGGAGUCGCAGGGGAUGCUUACUUUGCAUUGUCAAUCCAGCCAAAGAUUCCUCAGUUCUUUUUGGCAUUUGUGAAUUUUUGCUCUGCUCUCCUUGAGAGCCAUCUCUGCAGAUAUCUGGGAUGACUACAAAUAAGCAGCUUUACAAUGGGUUUUGCAGCUAUUACAUUUUAUACUAUUGAGUGGGAGAAAAAGCCAGUUUGGUGUCUGAAUAUCCUUAUCCAAAUAAUAUGCCACCCUAUUUUAAUUGCUGGUCAGAGAGCCUGUGUUAAUGAAUAGAGGCUAAUGGUAAGGGGUAAUCAAGGAAAGAGGAAAAACUGACUCAAGUGAGAUUUAUUUAUUUGCUUGCUUACUUUAUUUGCUUUAUUUAUACCCUGUUUUUCCCACCAUGGAGACUCAAGGUGAUGAACAACCAUACACCAUUUAAAACAAUUUUUUUAAAUGAAUAAUACUAUGUGGGUUAGGUUAAAAUAUAGUUAAAAUAUAAUAGAGGUAUCUGUCUUCAUAUAACCAAGCUUUUUCAUGCAUUUGAAGCGUGGAGCUUUGGAGUUCUUAAUCUUUACUGAUCUGCCCAACUUUUCCUCCUCUGUAAAACUUUGUAGAUUUUUUUUAAAAAAAGCAAUGGUUCCCAAACUGUUGGCCAUGGCCCACUGGUGGACCACGAGACCUAAAAUAAGGUCCGCAAGACAUGCGGAGAAAAUUGGUGCCAGAGCCUGUUUCUGGGGUUAUUUGGGCACUGAUUCAGAAAAUGGCAUUGGAUAGACCACAUCAGCUCUAAAUUAUUAAAUAUGGUUUUCUAUGGGUGAACAGAUGGCAACUACUGGAUGACAUAUGUUCUGUAUCAGAAACUAGAGCUGAUGUGGUCUGUCCAAUACAAUUUUCUGAAUCAGCACCUCAACUAACCAAACCAAAUUUAAAGUUGACCAAAACCGGAUUUGUAACCCUUUUGGUACUAAUGUUGGAAAGUGGUCUUUGGUCAAUGUCGUCCCCGGUCAAAGUGGUUCCUGGUCAAAAAUAAAAGGUUAGGAACUACUGUUUUAAAGGAAGGUGACUAUGUUGUUCUAUAAAAACAAUAUGAACUUCCAUUAUUGUGGAACAGUAGUUGGUCAUAAUAGAGAUAUCACUUGCUUGUGAAUUAGGUUGUGGGGGGUUCUUAUUUCUGGGUUUCAUGCACAUGUUUUGGAAAAUACCAUGUUUGGGGCAGAAUCUAUUCCUGAAAAAAUAAGGGUUUUUUUUUAAAUGCCAAAGAAGAUAUUGUACUAUAUGUUACAUAAUUUUAUCCUUUUGGGAUUCUUUAAUUCGGUCCCCCCCCCCCCUGCAAAAAUUAAUUUGUAAUUUUGCUUAUUAAGGACUGUGUUAUUUCUUUUCAAAGAGUUAGCCAUGUUAAUUUCUCACAGCAUACGAAGGGAGAAGUGUGAAGGGGGGAAGAGGAUUGUAGCAGCAACUUUGAAUUUAACUGGAUUUUAUUUUAGGUGGACCUUUUAUGGCUCUAAACCCACUUCUUCAGAUGCAGUACAGUGAUAUUAAGGCCUCGGGUGUAACACAUACUUAUAAAGUUUUGGAUUGGAACAGAGCAUAAUAGCAUCCAGAAAGAUCCAAAUCAUAUUCCUUGCCUUAAAUUUUCUUUCUAUUUCUGCUGUAUCACAUAACAGGACCACAUGUUUCACUUGAGAUAGUGGACAGUUUUCUGGGUUGCAACCAGCUUUAUCUCAAACAGGCAUCAUCAGAUGCAGUCCAAAUCCUGCACUCUAACUAGUGAUUCACCAAGUGUUCAUUUUCUAUCUUGGUUUGAUCAUGAACUCAUGGCUAGCAUCUCCUACCUGCACUCCCAAUCUUUUUUAUAGCUCACUAACCUAAUGAAGGCUAUUACAGGCAAAGAUGAAGUACUCUGGCCACAUAAUGAAAAGACAGGAAAUCUUGGAGAAGAGAAUGAUUCUGGGGAAAAUAGAAGGAAAAAGGAAGAGGGGCCGACCAAGGGCAAGAUGGAUGGAUGGUAUCCUUGAAGUGACUAGCUUGACCUUGAAGGAGUUGGGGGUGGUGAUGGCUGAUAGGGAGCUCUGGCAUGGGCUGAUCCAUGAGAUCAUGAAAAGUUAGAAGUGACUGAACGAAUAAACAACAAACUAGCCUAAUGAAGAAUUCUGCAUGAUACUGCAGAAGUGUAGUAGGUCCUAAGGUACAGCACACCUAUAGGUUGUAUUAAGGCCCACGCUGCAUGAUAAAAAUCCACAAAAGAUCUUAUGACACCUUCAUCAAAUGUAUGUGAUAGUAGCCUUAAGCUUUGUUCACUCAUUGCUUCUCUCUUUCUUGUUUAAUCGUAAUUCUUACCUGGAGAGGGACAAGUCUGAACAGGAGAGCUUGCCCUAGAAGUGGAUGCUCUCCACGCAAUGAAGAACAACAUCUUCGCAUCCAGAGGAGGAGGGGAAGAAGAAGAGGAGAAGGAGGAGAUCAUACAGUGAAGAAACAAUUUCAAGAGUAGUCAUAUUGGCCAUGCAACAUAAUACAACAAAAUCCACAAAAAAGUAAUACAACAAAAAUAUUCAAAAUACAUCAUGCAAGCAAUUGAAGCUUCACUGGGAAAAGAUACUAAAGUCUUACAGAAGACCAAAAAUAGCAUUCACAGAUCUAUAUUUUUAUUAGAUGUUGAAUUGCAGUCAGUUUGGAGGAGGGAUUUCAAUGCAGGCAGAGGCCACUCCUCUUCUGGGCCAUGUGAGACCUGGGACAAAGGGCAGUCAAAUUUAAAUUCUAUUAGCAGCAGUACAGUAAAUUCUAUUGGGAUCCAGGAUGUCUUUUUUCAAAUUGAGCUAGGUACAUCUGCCUGUUUAUAUGAGGGUGGGUCAAAAAGUUUUGUCUCCCAUGUCAUAAAAACAUUAUGAAUGAACAUAUAACAGCAGAAGCUGCUACAGAUCAUAGCCUGAACUAUCCUUACACAAAACUACCAUUCAACAUAGUCACCAUCAGUUUGUACAAAUUCAUGCCAUCAUGUAACCUAGGCAUCAAAACCUUUUUGGAAAAAUUCAGGGUUUUGCUUCGUGAUCCAUGAUUUUAAAGCUGUUUUGAUGUCAUUCAAGUCCUUGAAUCUGAAAUCACGUACGUUGUCUUUUUGGACCUCUGAAAGACAACCUAAACGGUUUCAGAUUCAAGGACUUGAAUGAUGUUAAAACAGCUUUAAAAUGAUGGGUCACGAAGCAAAACCCUGAAUUUUUCCAAAAUGAUUUUGAUGCCCGGGUUAAACGAUGGCACGGAUGUGUACAAAUUGACGGCUAGCAUGUUGCACAGUAGUUUUGCGUAGAGCAAUGUGGUCCAACCCACGGGCUGCGGGCCACAUGCAGCCCACCAAUUCAUUUUUGUUGGCCCUUGCCCUUCUUACUGGAAAAAUAUUUUAAUUUAACAUUUGGAAAAAAUAGUUUACCCUUCUUACUGCUUUAAGUUUUUAAGAAGCGGCCAUAUAACGGCCAUAUUAAAGCCUCACAUUCCUAUACCAAAGUUUGAUUGGCCCUUGGGUAACUAUGACUAAACAGUCCCCUAAAUAACCUGGCCCCGAUUAGAACUUGAAAUCUGUCCUUACACUUUACUAUUGCCCUCUAUCCAAAGAUAUUAUUCCCCAUCUUAUAUUGCUCACCCCUACUCAUCGAACUUACGCACUUUUUCCAUUAGCCCUAUUUUCAAAGGUGAGUUGCGCCAGCCCGCCCAUCCGUGCCUAGAAAUGGACUUUAUCACAGGCUCAUUGAUUGUUGGUUCGAGAUUGUUUUUAUUCUAUCACAACUGCUAUGUUGCUAUAAUUGUUGUUUUAUUCUCCUUUAUGAUACUAUGUAUGUAUUUUAAUGUGAUUAUAUUUUAUGAUAUUGACCGGGCUCGUCCCCAUGUAAGCUGCUCCGAGUCCCCUGGGGAUAUGGAGACAGGGUACAAAAAUUAAGUUAUAUUAUUAUUAUUAUUAUUAUUAUUAUUAUUAUUAUUAUUAUUAUUGUUAUAGUUUGCUU